GCCCGGAUGGUGGAACGGCAGACACGGCGACCUUAAAAGCCGCUGCCCUCUCGCGGGUGUGCCGGUUCGAAUCGGCCUCCGGGCAC
rnacentral:tRNA from 1 species